GGAUUAGAUACCCUGGUAGUCCUAGCCGUAAACGAUGACCACUAAGUGGGGGGGCUCCCAAGGCUUCCCCGCCGGAGCUAAUGUGUUAAGUGGUCCGCCUGGGGAGUAUGGUCGCAAGGCUAAAACUCAAAGGAAUUGACGGGGGCUCACACAAGCGGUGGAGCAUGUUGUUUAAUUCGAUCAACGCGAAGAACCUUACCUGGACUUGACAUGUACGUGUUACCGAAGUGAAAGCGGAGGGACCCUCUUCGAGGGAGCGUACACAGGUAUUGCAUGGCUGUCGUCAGCUCGUGCUG
rnacentral:rRNA from 1 species